rnacentral:rRNA from 1 species
UAAGCCAUGCAUGUGUAGGUAUAACCGAUUAUACCGGAAAACUGCGAAUGGCUCGGUAAAUCAGUUAUAGUUUAUUUGAUAGUGUCCACUACUCGGAUAACCGUAGUAACACUAGAGCUAAUACGUGCGUAAAUCCCGACUUUACGGAGGGACGUAUUUAUUAGAUAAAAGGCCGACCGGGAUUUAUCCCGACCAGCGGUGAAUCAUGGUAACUUCACGGAUUGCAUGGCCUUCGUGCCGGCGACGUGUCAUUCAAGUUUCUGCCCCAUCAUGGUUUCGACUGUAAUGUAUUGGAUUACAGUGCCGAUAACGGGUAGCGGAGGAUUAGGGUUCGAUUCCGGAGAGGGCGCCUGAGAAAUGGCGACCACAUCCAAGGAAGGCAGCAGGCGCGCAAAUUACCCAAUCCCAACUCAGGGAGGUAGUGACAAGAAAUAACAAUGCGGAGCCACAGGUUCUGCAAUUGGAAUGAGUACAAUUUAAACCACUUAACGAGUACCUAUUGGAGGGCAAGUCUGGUGCCAGCAGCCGCGGUAAUUCCAGCUCCAAUAGCGUAUAUGUAAGUUGUUGCGAUUAAAAAGCCCGUAGCUGAACCUCGGGUAGCCCUGACGGUCCGCCUUUGGGUGUGUACUGUCGUGGGUUACCUUUCUGCUGGGGACCGUAUCCUUGCAUUCACUUGCCGGGAACGGGACCUAGCAAGGUUACUUUGAGUAAAAUAGAGUGUUCAAAGCAAGCUCUUGCUUGAAUACACUAGCAUGGGAUAACACGACAUGACCGAUGGUCUAUCUUGUUGGCCUGUAGACCCGUUGGUAAUGGCUAAUAGGGACGGUCGGGGGCAUUCGUAUUUCGCUGUCAGAGGUGAAAUUCUUGGAUUUGCGAAAGACGAACUACUGCGAAAGCAUUUGUCAAGGACGCUUUCAUUAGUCAAGGACGAAAGUCGGGGGAUCGAAGACGAUUAGAUACCGUCGUAGUCUCGACCAUAAACGAUGCCAAUUAGGGAUCGGAGGGCGGUUUAUUUAUGCCUCCUCCGGCACCUUCCGCGAAAGCAAAAUCUAUGGGCUUCGGGGGGAGUAUGGUCGCAAGGCUGAAACUUAAAGGAAUUGACGGAACGGCACCACCAGGCGUGGAGCUGCGGCUUAAUUUGACUCAACACGGGAAAACUUACCAGGUCCAGACAAAAUUAGGAUUUACAGAUUGAUAGCUCUUUAAAGAUUUUUUGGAUGGUGGUGCAUGGCCGUUCUUAGUUCGUGGAUUGAUUUGUCAGGUUGAUUCCGGUAACGGACGAGACCCCAACCUACUAACUACGCUCCAGUUGAUUCCCAGCUGGCUAGCUUCUUAGAGGGACUCUCGGUGUUGAGCCGAUGGAGGUGGGGCAAUAACAGGUCUGUGAUGCCCUUAGAUGUCCUGGGCCGCACGCGCGCUACACUGAUGCAUUCAACGAGCCUACCCUUGUCCGAGAGGUCUGGGUAAUCUGUGAAACUGCAUCGUGAUGGGGCUAGAUUAUUGCAAUUAUUGAUCUUCAACGAGGAAUGCCUAGUAAGCGCGAGUCAUCAACUCGCGUUGAUUACGUCCCUGCCGUUUGUACACACCGCCCGUCGCUCCUACCGAUUGGGUGUGCUGGUGAAAUGUUCGGAUUGGGUGGUUUCCCGGUUUCGGGGUUCCGCUCGAGAAGUACAUUGAACCCUCUCACCUAGAGGAAGGAGAAGUCGUAACAAGGU